GAUGUAAGCUACGUUCGGAAGCAUGCCAGAUGUUUCAUAAUCAGACGAAGAUAGGGAUCAAGACCAUCAGAUCCGUCUAGUCCUUCCAUAACUAUGCCGACUAGGGAUUGAAUGAAAUCGCCAUUCAGUACCUUAUGAGAAAUCAAAGUCUUGGUCUGGGGGAGUAUGCCGCAAGACUGAACUUAAAGAAAUUGACCGAAGCAGCACCAGAGUGAGCCUGCGCCUAAUUUGACUCAACACGGGAAGACAUAGACAGGUCCAGACAUAGUAAGGAUUGACAGAUGAUAGCUCUUUCUUGCUUAUGGGUGGUGGUGCGUGCCGUCUUAGUUGGUGGAGUGAUUUGUCUGGUUAAUUCCGAUAACGAACGAGACCUUAACCUGCUAACUAGAUUCUAUCAUCUUAUGAUUGUUAUCUUCUUAGAGGGACUAUGUAAAACAAAUACAUGGAAGUUUGAGGCAAUAACAGGUCAGUGAUGCCCUUAUAUGUCCUGGGCUGCACGCGUGCUACACUGAUGCAUACAACAAGUGCCUAACCAGACAUGGUAUGGCAAUCUCGAAUAUGCAUCGUGAUAGGGAUAGAUCUUUGCAAUUAUAGAUCUUGAACGAGGAAUUCCUAGUAAGUGCAAGUCAUCAUCUUGCAUUGACUAUGUCCCUGCCCUUUGUACACACCGCCCGUCGCUCCUACCGAUACCGGGUGAUCCGGUGACCUUUGCCCUUACGUUAAAAUACCAACACCGGAGGAAGGAGAACGAAGUAAGCC
rnacentral:rRNA from 1 species